rnacentral:misc_RNA from 1 species
AUUUUCUUUUUUUGGGUGGAUUUUUGUGAUUUUUUUUCCUCCAGAUAUGUAUCAUUUGAUAGAAUUGAAAUGUGAAUUUUGUCAAAUUGUGGUUCUUUUUGAGAUUCUGAGAUACAUACGAAUUUGAUUUAUUUGAGAAUUUUAUCGAUUCGGGGAUUUGGAAGGGAGUCAUUUGGAAUUAAAAUGUUGCCGUAUCACGCAAAGAAUCUGAUGAUCAAAUUUGGAUUGGGA